rnacentral:rRNA from 1 species
UGGGGAAUAUUGGACAAUGGGCGCAAGCCUGAUCCAGCAAUGCCGCGUGUGUGAAGAAGGCCUUCGGGUUGUAAAGCACUUUUAUCGGGAGCGAAAUACCAUUGGUUAAUAACCGGUGGGGCUGACGGUACCCGAGGAAUAAGCACCGGCUAACUUCGUGCCAGCAGCCGCGGUAAUACGAAGGGUGCAAGCGUUAAUCGGAAUUACUGGGCGUAAAGGGUGCGUAGGCGGUUGGUUAAGUCUGUCGUGAAAUCCCCGGGCUCAACCUGGGAAUGGCGAUGGAUACUGGCAAGCUAGAGUGUGUCAGAGGAUGGUGGAAUUUCCGGUGUAGCGGUGAAAUGCGUAGAGAUCGGAAGGAACAUCAGUGGCGAAGGCGGCCAUCUGGGACAACACUGACGCUGAAGCACGAAAGCGUGGGGAGCAAACA